GAUUUAUUGCAUUGUAUCAGUGAUAUAUUGCUUUGUAUCAGCAUAUUGCAUUAUAUCAGUGAUGUAUUACAUUGUAGUUGUCAGCCAAGAUUUAGGAGUUCUAGUUAGCAGAAAUGUAAAGACAACAGUGCAGAAGUGUUUGCAGUGAAAUUGUUAGGAUUCUUGGCUUUGUAUCGAGAAGUAUAAAUACAUGUAAUAGAAGGCUUAAGGUUAUAGUUCAAAGUUAUACAUCUUUGGUAAGGCCUCUUACAUUUUUUUUCAAUGUCUAUGGUUAUUAAUUAUUAAAAUUAACUGGGAAUAACAGGUAGGGUAAUAUUAUAAUAAAAUUAAGAGCUAAACCCAAAAGGGUCAUAAAUAUUGGUAGGGUAGUAGCCACAAACUGUAUUCUGUGAAACAUUCAAUUAUUAUUGUUAUUCACAGACUGCAAAACCCAUGUGCUUUAUGCAGCAUUAACAGAACAUUCCAGAUUUUUGUUUUACAAUGCUUAAAAUUAGCAGAGGAUGUGGGUGCAUUUUUUUUAUGUACUUACUACUGUACAAUAUACAUAGUGUCUUUAUAGUACCUAAUAACAGUACUAUAUAUACAUGUAUAUCUAUAUAUAUGUGCAUUAAUCACGUGUAGCCUAUGCAUCAGUUAAAGCUGUAUGUGUGGGACCUUAUUAACAAUGUUCUUGCAGGUGUGAUUAAGUUAGAUAUUUCAGCCUUGUUAGUUAUGUGUCAGUCUCAUUAAGCUUACUUCCACUGAUUUUGUUAAUCCUGCAUCUAUUACCUCCAGACAGGUUAAUCUAAUCCUGCACCUUGCCAUAUUGAACACAUUACCUACCCAUAUUAACCAGAUAACACUCCUGUAUUUAACCAGGUUAAUUCAAGUCAUAUUUACCCAUUAUGUGCCCAUGUCAGCAAAGCAUCAUCCCAUAGUAGCUAUUAUUAUUAUUAUUAUAAACAGAAAGAAGCGCUAAGCCACAAGGGCUACCCAUAGUAGCUAUGUACAGCGGUGUAAGUUAACAUUGUUCAUUUCUCCCUUGUAGCCAGACUGGUGGAGUGGCCAUGUGUGUAGUUUGAGUGGCAGUAACCAUGCCAUCAUCCAGUCCCUGAUAUAUUCCAUGGGAGGACGCCCAGAAGUGCCCGCCCCAUGCUGUGUCCCUGACAAACUUGACUCCAUCUCCAUCCUAUUCCUGAAUAGUGAUAAUGUUUUUGUUCUCAAGAACUACCCAAAGAUGAGUGUCACAUCAUGUAGUUGCCAGUGAUGGCUGCCCUGAGUUCCUGACCCUCUUAGGCUCCAAGCAGUGCCUGAGGAAGAGGACAUAUCUGGGAUAUAUUAUGGGGACGAGAUAAUGUAAUGUCCACCACCCUCCGUUCCUUACAGGUAUCAGCUAUAGGCUGUCAGAAGUUAUUAUAAAAUCCAUUCACAUCUCAAAUAUGUUUUAGGAGAUUAAUUUGUACUGAGAAGGGAAUGCCCAUUACCUAUGGUAUUUAGUGCAACAACCUGUUAUUGACAUCUGAAUGUUUGGCACAUUACUCAGAAUAUCUAUGUACAUAAUGUGCAGUAAUUUGGCAGUUCUUACAUUUCUCUACCAACUUACAACUGGCAUUUAGUGCAGUAGUACAGUACUUCUCAAAUGAUAACAGUCAAAUAUCACCUAUACAAAUGUGUCAGUGGUUCUCAAAACUUUGGUAUCACUCAAAAUAAGUGUGUCUAAUAGCAAAACAAAACAGCUCAAAAUGAGUUUGAACUACACAAGGACGCCCACACAACUUUAAUAUAGUGUAGGAAAAGUUUUAUAAGAAUUAUAUAUGUACUGUACUCUCAAUCUCAUUGAUUCUUGAUAAUUUGAAUAUUUACAUGAUGGGUUACCCAGUACUAAAAAAGUCAAUUUAGAAAAAGGAUUGAAGGGAACUUUUCAGUCAUAAAUGUAGCAUGGCUAAAGAGUACACACAUCAUCAUUGUAUAUGGUGUAACAUAGUUGAAGUGUGCUGCCUGAAAAAUGAUUGAGAGACUUGUUUAGUUAAGUAUAUGUACCAUAAUCUUUAUUAAGUCAAAUAUAGCACAAUUAAGGCUAAAUUUGACACCAUUGCAAUCCAAAUUAUAUAUUUAGUGUUUGUUUAAAUUUUAUAUUUUCAGCUUCACAUCAGCCCUAAGUUGAUCUGUAACACCAUAAAACAAGUUUCUUUCAUACCAGUAAUUAUGCCAACUAGUCAAAAUGUUAUAACAAGUGGAUCAAUGCUUGUUGAUCUUAUCAAAGUAAAGAUAAUCCAAAAGUGUGGCCUAUAAUACAACAGUUCUGUUAAUCACUAAGAGAUCAUAUUUUCCAUGAUUAUUCCAAAUCAAUAAUUAGUGUAUCUUGCCAUAACAUAUAUUGUACAGUACAUUUUAUUUACUACACUUCUGUAUCUUACACCUUAAUUACUUAUGGGAUAUUAAAGACAUUUAAUGAUACAUAUUAAUGUUCGGGUAGAAUGAGGACGCAUUUUUACAAGUUAAUAUCUAAGUUUACCCAGUAAGUAUGUACAUGGUUAUGGAUUCGCUGUUAAGACACAUCAGUCAAAUUACUGACUACAAAUGCUUGACAUACAUAUUGCCAAAUAAAUUAGGUAUAUGUUAAUAUGCAGUAGUACCAACUUAGUAGUGCUCAUGACUGGCUCUUCAGCUGCAGUCAAUCAGAAUUUUCAACUGCAUAUUUUUGGCUAUACAGCAAAAGUUGCACAGAAUUCACUUUUAAACUCGCAUUUUACCUGCGACCAAAUUUCUAAAUCAUCUCGCUAAAAAUGUAUAUUUUCUGAAUGUAUAUUUACUGAAGGUAAAUAGGAAGCAAUUCACAUUUCAAGGAAAGAAACAGUUCUCCAAUCAACAGUGGGUAAUUCUCUCUCAAAUAUAGGUGGUCUUGCUCUAAGAGGCAGUCUGCUAAAUAAAAACUUCCACGUUUUAUAUUAUACCUCAAUAUUUACAGUUUAAGUGAUGUGAAAUAUAAUUAGUAGGGAUUUGCUGUUACAAUAGAAUAGUAAUAAGUACAGUACUGUAAUUGUUGAAACUUGAUGUAUUCAUGUGUAAAUGUACCAUUCGUGUUAAUACAGUGCUAAAGAUAUUUUAUAAAAAGAUACACUGAAUUAUGUAUGUAGUAAUAAUUUUUAUACUAAUUUCCUCCUAUGACCUCUGACAUGAAAUUGGGAGGAAGCAGAGGAAAAUAGUUGGUGUUUCUAGAGACAUGUAACAGUAGAAUACUAAUGCUACAGCUGAAAACUUUGCACUUACUGUAGAGAUGCAUUUGGCUCAACCAUAAGAAUAUUACAUUAGCAAUUAUGAGACACAAGGGCAAUGCAAUUAUUACUGCUACUAUUUAGUACAGUACAGUAUUUAGUUUUUUACAAUUGCACUUCAUAAAUGCUGAAUUCUACAAUGAAAAAUGCUUAUAUAUUCUGCCAUCAUAAUACCCUGAUUGCUAGUUUUUCAGCAUAUUUGAAACCAAUCAAGCAGUACAAUAAGUCCUCACUUAACGUUGUCAAUAGGUUUUUGGAAACUGCAACUUUAAGUGAAAUGACGUAUAACAAAAUCACACCUCGCUGUUCAUCAUCAAACCUCUUUACAACUUCUAAUUUUGUCUCUGUCACAUUUUUUUUUUUUUGUGGCCACAGACAUCAGGGGUGCACAUGCACCUUAGGCACUCGCUGCAACAGGGUUAAAUUCAGGAAUAAAUGUUUGCAAAGGGAAAAUUGUAAGGAGCACCUCCUACCACCACAAUAACAAAUAUGACAGACUCGCUGAGUACUUUCAUACAGCACCAUUUACUGCCACUUGUAUUAUUGUAUACUUUACAAAUUUUUAUUUUACCGUCCCCCCACAGACAGUGGCCACGGCUAGGAAUAAAUUUUUUUUUCAUCAUUAUAACAAAAUGUUAUUCAAGAACUUGCAGUAUGUGACAGACAUUCAUGACUUGUACAAUUUAUAAUAAGAAUGCUUGAUACAGAAAGUUGUAACAAGUUGCAUCAAUGAACUAUGUAAUAUUUUUUACCAUUGCUUAACAUUUUCUAAUUGUUUUAUAUGACCUAAGAAUGGCUUUUACCUAAUAAUUUAAAGUAUCACUUAUGCAAACUAUUGUCCACUGUCAACAAAAAAAAAAAGCCCUCCUACUGAGGUAAAUGUACCUGUUGCUCAUUAAUCUUAGUA